rnacentral:rRNA from 1 species
GGAUGCUACCGGGCGACCGGAUGCGGAUCUCGAAAGCCUGUCCCAGUUCGGACUGGAGUCUGCAACCCGACUCCACGAAGUUGGAUUCGCUAGUAAUCGCGCAUCAGCCAUGGCGCGGUGAAUACGUUCCCGGGCCUUGUACACACCGCCCGUCAAGCCAUGGGAGCCGGGGGCGCCUGAAGUCCGGGACCGCGAGGACCGGCCUAGGGCGAAACUGGUAACUGGGGCUAAGUCGUAACAAGGUACC